UACGUAGGGGGCAAGCGUUGUCCGGAUUUAUCGGGCGUAAAGAGCGUGUAGGCGGCUAGGUAGGUCUGUUGUGAAAACUCGAGGCUCAACCUCGAGACGCCGAUGGAAACCAUCUGGCUAGAGUCCGGAAGAGGAGAGUGGAAUUCCUGGUGUAGCGGUGAAAUGCGUAGAUAUCAAGAGGAACACCUGAGGUGAAGACGGGUUGCUGGGCUGACACUGACGCUGAGGCGCGAAAGCCAGGGGAGCAAACGGG
rnacentral:rRNA from 1 species